UUUUUUGUAAGUAAUUACAUAGGUAUGUCAUUAGAAAUAAGAUUUUAAAGAGUAAAUUAAUUUAUUUCUUU
rnacentral:sRNA from 1 species